GCCAGGAAGAAUGUAUAUAGUGCCAAUCAGAAAAUUCAGGAUGCUCAGGAUAAGCUCUACCUCUCGUGGGUAGAGUGGAAAAGGAGCAUUGGAUAUGAUGAUACUGAUGAGUCCCACUGUGCUGAGCACAUUGAGUCACGUACUCUUGCAAUUGCCCGCAACCUGACUCAGCAGCUCCAGACCACGUGCCACACACUCCUGUCCAACAUCCAAGGCGUACCGCAGAACAUCCAAGAUCAGGCCAAGCACAUGGGGGUGAUGGCAGGCGACAUCUACUCAGUGUUCCGCAAUGCUGCCUCCUUUAAAGAAGUGUCUGACGGCCUCCUCACUUCUAGCAAGGGGCAGCUGCAGAAAAUGAAGGAAUCUUUAGAUGACGUGAUGGAUUAUCUUGUUAACAACACGCCCCUCAACUGGCUGGUGUUUGAUUUCACCACCAUAGACUUGACAUCUGAGACUGAUGAAAUUCCAGAUAUUAUAGCUUUGGAAGAGGAGAACGGAUCAAAUCAUUCACAUGCUAAUGGCCCUGUCCUCUCAGGGCAAGAUGUUGAAUAACUAACAACAACAAAAUACCCCUUUUGGUUGAAUACGCAAUUUGUAUUACAUUAAACUUCCUGUUUUUAUUCCUGUGACUUUGAAGAGUGUUAAUCUAUUUUUUGGCUACAUUGGGCUUAAUUGCAAUGACACUCUGAUCUAAACUUUUGUAAGAGAUCCUAGUUCUGUGUCAUAUAUCAUUUAAUAUAAUUAAAGUUUAAUUGCUGAAAUACUUAUAAUGAAAAUUGGGCUGUAUAA
rnacentral:sRNA from 1 species